UUUUGUCAACCAUUUUUGAAUUAUUUGUUUUUGUUUUUUGAAAUGCGAUUCCGUGGCGGAUUUUCCCCUUCAGUUUUAUUACUGAGGUGUCUGUACCUGGUUGUGCCCGAACCGUGUAGUUCACAGGUUGUGCACUCUUCCUCUAGUAAAACACUACUAGACUAGACAACGGAUGCGUAUUAGGGAGACGGCUAAUAGUGAUGUUGUUAUCGCCAUUGCCUGUUUCUUCACCUUGUCUUUAUAGGCAG
rnacentral:lncRNA from 1 species